rnacentral:rRNA from 1 species
UGGGGAAUCUUGCGCAAUGGGGGAAACCCUGACGCAGCGACGCCGCGUGAGCGAUGAAGGCCUUCGGGUUGUAAAGCUCUGUGGGGAGGGACGAAUAAGUGUUGGCUAAUAUCCAACAUGAUGACGGUACCUCCUUAGCAAGCACCGGCUAACUCUGUGCCAGCAGCCGCGGUAAGACAGAGGGUGCAAACGUUGUUCGGAAUCACUGGGCGUAAAGCGCGUGUAGGCUGCUGCGCAAGUCGGAUGUGAAAUCCCACGGCUCAACCAUGGAAGUGCAUUCGAAACUGCGUAGCUAGAGUUUUGGAGAGGAAGGCGGAAUACUCGGUGUAGAGGUGAAAUUCGUAGAUAUCGAGUGGAACACCGGUGGCGAAGGCGGCCUUCUGGACAAUGACUGACGCUGAAACGCGAAAGCGUGGGGAGCAAACAG